rnacentral:rRNA from 1 species
UGCAGUCGAGCGUGAUCGUGGCUUCGGCCACAAUGAUAAAGCGGCAGACGGCUGAGUAACGCGUGAGUAAUCUGCCCUCCGGUGGGGUAUAGCCUCGGGAAACUGAGGAUAAUCCCGCAUACGACCUGCAUCCCUUGGGGUGCAGAUGAAAGGCUUCGGUCGCCGGAGGAGGAGCUCGCGUCCUAUCAGGUUGUUGGUGAGGUAAUGGCUCACCAAGCCGAUGACGGGUAGCUGGUCUGAGAGGAUGACCAGCCAGAGGGGGACUGAGAACGGCCCCCACUCCUACGGGAGGCAGCAGCAGGGAAUCUUGGGCAAUGGGCGAAAGCCUGACCCAGCGACGUCGCGUGGGGGACGAAGGCCUUCGGGUUGUAAACCCCUUUUCCGAGGGAAGAGAAAGGACGGUACCUCGGGAAUAAGCCCCGGCUAACUACGUGCCAGCAGCCGCGGUAAUACGUAGGGGGCAAGCGUUACCCGGAAUCACUGGGCGUAAAGUGCGCGUAGGCGGUUGGAUAAGUCUCUUGUGAAAGCUCCCGGCUCAACUGGGAGAGGUCAAGGGAUACUAUUCGACUAGAGGACAGCAGAGGUAAGCAGAAUUCCCGGUGUAGCGGUGGAAUGCGUAGAUAUCGGGAGGAACACCAGUGGCGAAAGCGGCUUACUGGGCUGUAUCUGACGCUGAGGCGCGAGAGCGUGGGGAGCAAACUGGAUUAGAUACCCAGGUAGUCCACGCCCUAAACGAUGGAUACUAGGUAUGGGGGGUAUUGACCCCCUCCGUGCCGUAGCUAACGCGUUAAGUAUCCCGCCUGGGGACUACGGCCGCAAGGCUAAAACUCAAAGGAAUUGACGGGGGCCCGCACAAGCGGUGGAGCGUGUGGUUUAAUUCGAUGCUAAGCGAAGAACCUUACCUGGGCUUGACAUGUUGGUAGUAGGAACCCGAAAGGGUGACGACCUCGGGGUAACUCGGGGAGCCAUCACAGGUGCUGCAUGGCUGUCGUCAGCUCGUGCCGUGAGUGUUGGGUUAAGUCCCGCAACGAGCGCAACCCUCGUCGCUAGUUAUUC